AUAAAUGUUCCUUGACCUUUGAGUGAACCAACAGGUCUUAAAAGUUGCAUUUGCCAAAGCAAGUUCCCAUAGCAAAUAAAGUUUUCAGAUGAGUGCAUCAGAUUUUUUUCCCUCUUCGGCCUAAAGAGGAAUUACCAUCAGCCAUCACCAGGAAGAGCAAGUUAACUUUUCAGGUUGUUUCUCAGAGACCAUUUAAAGUCUGUGCUAUAGAGUAGGCAUGGCUCCAGUUCCAGAAGGAAGACUUGGGUCAAGUAGCUCACAGGCAAAUGACUUAAAUGCUUCUUAUAAGAUACUACCUGAAACAAUCUCUGCUUAAAACAUCCGAUCUCCAUAUUGUCGGAUCUUCCUAUAACUCUGGGAUGGCAGCUUUUAGUAGCAGCUAAAGAUUUGGUUGAAUCCAUACAUGCAGAACCCACAGAUAUGGAAAGCCAAAUGUGUAUCCAGGAGUAUUAUCUGUAUGGGCCAUUGAAUACAUAGAACUUAAUGUGACUUAAAACAUUAUAUUAUAAAUUAAUUUAGCAUCUAAAUGUAUGUUAAAUUAUAAGCGGACUCUUAUUUUUUAAAUAAACAAAUAAUCAUG
rnacentral:lncRNA from 1 species